GGCGAACGCUGGCGGCAGGCUUAGCACAUGCAAGUCGAGCGGAGAUGAGGUGCUUGCACCUUAUCUUAGCGGCGGACGGGUGCGUAAUGCUUAGGAAUCUGCCUAUUAGUGGGGGACAACAUUCCGAAAGGAAUGCUAAUACCGCAUACGUCCUACGGGAGAAAGCAGGGGAUCUUCGGACCUUGCGCUAAUAGAUGAGCCUAAGUCGGAUUAGCUAGUUGGUGGGGUAAAGGCCUACCAAGGCGACGAUCUGUAGCGGGUCUGAGAGGAUGAUCCGCCACACUGGGACUGAGACACGGCCCAGACUCCUACGGGAGGCAGCAGUGGGGAAUAUUGGACAAUGGGGGAAACCCUGAUCCAGCCAUGCCGCGUGUGUGAAGAAGGCCUUAUGGUUGUAAAGCACUUUAAGCGAGGAGGAGGCUACUGAGACUAAUACUCUUGGAUAGUGGACGUUACUCGCAGAAUAAGCACCGGCUAACUCUGUGCCAGCCGCCGCCGUAACAC
rnacentral:rRNA from 1 species